rnacentral:rRNA from 1 species
UACGGAGGAUCCAAGCGUUAUCCGGAAUCAUUGGGUUUAAAGGGUCCGUAGGCGGCCUUAUAAGUCAGUGGUGAAAUCUCCCCGCUCAACGGGGAAACUGCCAUUGAUACUGUAGGGCUUGAAUUAUUGGGAAGUAACUAGAAUAUGUAGUGUAGCGGUGAAAUGCUUAGAUAUUACAUGGAAUACCGAUUGCGAAGGCAGGUUACUACCAAUUGAUUGACGCUGAUGGACGAAAGCGUGGGGAGCGAACAGG